AAAGAAGGGCAGAAAUCAGUAAGUACUGCUAAUACUUACACCCCGGGGUUAGAAUCCCCGGCUUCUUUA
rnacentral:tRNA from 1 species